rnacentral:rRNA from 1 species
UGGGGAAUAUUGGACAAUGGGCGAAAGCCUGAUCCAGCCAUGCCGCGUGAGUGAUGAAGGCCCUAGGGCUGUAAAGCUCUUUUGUGCGGGAAGAUAAUGACGGUACCGCAAGAAUAAGCCCCGGCUAACUUCGUGCCAGCAGCCGCGGUAAUACGAAGGGGGCUAGCGUUGCUCGGAAUCACUGGGCGUAAAGGGUGCGUAGGCGGGUUUCUAAGUCAGAGGUGAAAGCCUGGAGCUCAACUCCAGAACUGCCUUUGAUACUGGAAGUCUUGAGUUCGGGAGAGGUGAGUGGAACUGCGAGUGUAGAGGUGAAAUUCGUAGAUAUUCGCAAGAACACCAGUGGCGAAGGCGGCUCACUGGCCCGAUACUGACGCUGAGGCACGAAAGCGUGGGGAGCAAACA